GGGCAAGCGUUGUCCGGAUUUAUUGGGCGUAAAGAGCGUGUAGGCGGUUUGGUAGGUCCGUUGUGAAAACUCGAGGCUCAACCUCGAGACGCCGGCGGAAACCAUCAGGCUAGAGUCCGGAAGAGGAGAGUGGAAUUCCUGGUGUAGCGGUGAAAUGCGCAGAUAUCAGGAAGAACACCCGUGGCGAAGGCGGCUCUCUAGUACGGUACUGACGCUGAGACGCGAAAGCGUGGGGAGCGAACAGG
rnacentral:rRNA from 1 species